rnacentral:misc_RNA from 1 species
GAGAAUCGAAGUCAUGCACCUGCCUCUGAGAAUGAUCGAAGAUAUGAGCUGAAGAAAUAUAGUUAUAAUGAACUAGCAAUGGCAACUGAUCAUUUCUCCAACAACGAAUUCCUUGGCGAGGGUGCUUUUGGUCAAGUCUAUAGGGGAACACUAGACGGAAAGGUGGUUGCUAUCAAGAAACUCAAAAUUAUACAGGAUCAUGAACAGCCGGAAAAUCUUCAAAAUCAAUUGGAGGAGAUUGAUGUCCUUAGCAUUGUGCGUCACCAAAAUGUUGUUAAACUGGUUGGGUACUGCAAUGAAAGAAGGAAUAGAUUGCUUGUUUUAGAGUAUGUUCCCAAUAGGUCCUUGAAAUUUCAUUUACACGGUGAGUCCUUUUCUGUGCCCUUAUGUACUCAUACUUAUAGCCAUGUGGGCAUAACUAUAAAUAAAAUCCUCAAACAAUAAAUGUCAUAGGAAAGAAGCUUUUGGAAUGGUCAAUCAGAAUGAAAGUGGCUAUAGGCUCUGCUAAAGAGUUGCAAUACCUACAUGAAGAAUGUGAGUAGUCAAAUCAAGCAUUCAUUACUUGC